GACGGAGGGUGCUAGCGUUGUUCGGAAUCACUGGGCGUAAAGGGCGCGUAGGCGGCCCUAGGUGUCGGAUGUGAAAGCCCGGGGCUCAACCCCCGGAGGUGCAUCCGAAACUCUGGGGCUGGAGGUCGGAAGAGGAGGGUGGAAUACCCAGUGUAGAGGUGAAAUUCGUAGAUAUUGGGUGGAACACCGGUGGCGAAAGCGGCUCUCUGGUCCGGACCUGACGCUGAGGCGCGAAAGCGUGGGAGCAAACAGG
rnacentral:rRNA from 1 species